AUGCAGCAACGCCGCGUGAAGGAUGAAGGCCUUCGGGUUGUAAACUUCUGUCCUAGGGGAAGAAACAAAUGACAUUACCCUUGGAGGAAGCCCCGGCUAACUACGUGCCAGCAGCCGCGGUAAUACGUAGGGGGCGAGCGUUAUCCGGAAUUAUUGGGCGUAAAGAGUGCGUAGGUGGCACCUUAAGCGCAGGGUUUAAGGCAAUGGCUCAACCAUUGUUCGCCUUGCGAACUGGGGUGCUUGAGUGCAGGAGGGGAAAGUGGAAUUCCUAGUGUAGCGGUGAAAUGCGUAGAUAUUAGGAGGAACACCAGUGGCGAAGGCGACUUUCUGGACUGUUACUGACACUGAGGCACGAAAGCGUGGGGAGCAAACAGGAUUAGAUACCCUGGUAGUCCACGCCGUAAACGAUGAGCACUAGGUGUCGGGGUCGCAAGACUUCGGUGCCGCAGUUAACGCAUUAAGUGCUCCGCCUGGGGAGUACGCACGCAAGUGUAAAACUCAAAGGAAUUGACGGGGACCCGCACAAGCAGCGGAGCAUGUGGUUUAAUUCGAAGCAACGCGAAGAACCUUACCAGGACUUGACAUCCUCUUGACAGAUCCUUAAUCGGAUUCUUCUUCGGACAAGAGAGACAGGUGGUGCAUGGUUGUCGUCAGCUCGUGUCGUGAGAUGUUGGGUUAAGUCCCGCAACGAGCGCAACCCUUGCCAUUAGUUGCCAUCAUUUAGUUGGGCACUCUAGUGGGACUGCCGGGGAAAACUCGGAGGAAGGUGGGGAUGACGUCAAAUCAUCAUGCCCCUUAUGUUCUGGGCUACACACGUGCUACAAUGGCCGGUACAACAGGCAGCGAACCCGUGAGGGGGAGCGAAUCCCAAAAGCCGGUCCCAGUUCGGACUGUAGGCUGCAACUCGCCUACACGAAGUUGGAGUUGCUAGUAAUCGCGGAUCAGAAUGCCGCGGUGAAUGCGUUCCCGGGUCUUGUACACACCGC
rnacentral:rRNA from 1 species